CCCUUAGAUGUUCUGGGCUGCACGCGCGCUACACUGAAGCGUUCAACGAGUAUUUCACCUUGCCCGGGAGGGUUGGGUAAUCUUUUUAAAACGCUUCGUGAUGGGGAUAGAUUAUUGCAAUUAUUAAUCUUCAACGAGGAAUUCCUAGUAAGCGCGAGUCAUCAGCUCGUGCUGAUUACGUCCCUGCCCUUUGUACACACCGCCCGUCGCUACUACCGAUUGAACGUUUUAGUGAGGUAUUUGGACUGGACCUUCGGAGGUUCGCGCCUCCGUUGCUGUUCGGGAAGACUCCCAAACUUGAGCGUUUAGAGGAAGUAAAAGUCGUAACA
rnacentral:rRNA from 1 species